rnacentral:rRNA from 1 species
GAUGAACGCUGACAGAAUGCUUAACACAUGCAAGUCGAUGGGGAAGUGGUGCUUGCACCAUGGUAACCAUGGCGGACGGGUGAGUAACGCGUAAGGAACUUGCCUGCGGGACUGGGAUAACAGCAGGAAACUGCUGAUAAUACCGGAUAAGGUCAUUAAGCUGCAUAGCUUAGUGAUGAAAGGAGACGCCUGCGGAGAGCCUUGCGUCCUAUUAGCUAGUUGGAGGGGUAACGGCCCACCAAGGCGAAGAUAGGUAGCCGGCCUGAGAGGGUGGACGGCCACAAGGGGACUGAGAUACGGCCCUUACUCCUACGGGAGGCAGCAGUGGGGAAUAUUGGACAAUGGGGGCAACCCCGAUCCAGCAAUUCUGUGUGCACGAAGACGGUUUUCGGAUUGUAAAGUGCUUUCAGCAGGGAAGAAGGAAGUGACGGUACCUGCAGAAGAAGCGACGGCUAAAUACGUG